AACGAACGCUGGCGGCAGGCCUAACACAUGCAAGUCGAACGCUGUAGCAAUACAGAGUGGCAGACGGGUGAGUAACACGUGGGAAUCUUCCUAUCGGUACGGAAUAGCUCAGGGAAACUUGGGGUAAUACCGCAUACGCCCUUCGGGGGAAAGAUUUAUCGCCGAUAGAUGAGCCCGCGUCUGAUUAGCUAGUUGGUGAGGUAAUGGCUCACCAAGGCGACGAUCAGUAGCUGGUCUGAGAGGAUGACCAGCCACACUGGGACUGAGACACGGCCCAGACUCCUACGGGAGGCAGCAGUGGGGAAUAUUGGACAAUGGGCGCAAGCCUGAUCCAGCCAUGCCGCGUGAGUGACGAAGGUCUUCGGAUUGUAAAGCUCUUUUGCCAGGGACGAUAAUGACGGUACCUGGAGAAUAAGCCCCGGCUAACUUCGUGCCAGCAGCCGCCGUAAGAC
rnacentral:rRNA from 1 species